ACUCCUACGGGAGGCAGCAGUAGGGAAUCUUCCACAAUGGGCGCAAGCCUGAUGGAGCAACACCGCGUGAGUGAAGAAGGGUUUCGGCUCGUAAAGCUCUGUUGUUAAAGAAGAACACGUAUGAGAGUAACUGUUCAUACGUUGACGGUAUUUAACCAGAAAGUCACGGCUAACUACGUGCCAGCAGCCGCGGUAAUACGUAGGUGGCAAGCGUUAUCCGGAUUUAUUGGGCGUAAAGAGAGUGCAGGCGGUUUUCUAAGUCUGAUGUGAAAGCCUUCGGCUUAACCGGAGAAGUGCAUCGGAAACUGGAUAACUUGAGUGCAGAAGAGGGUAGUGGAACUCCAUGUGUAGCGGUAGAAUGCGUAGAUAUAUGGAAGAACACCAGUGGCGAAGGCGGCUACCUGGUCUGCAACUGACGCUGAGACUCGAAAGCAUGGGUAGCGAACAGGAUUAGAUACCCUGGUAGGAUAGCG
rnacentral:rRNA from 1 species